rnacentral:rRNA from 1 species
CUGGGAUAACUCCGGGAAACCGGGGCUAAUACCGGAUGGUUGUUUGAACCGCAUGGUUCAGACAUAAAAGGUGGCUUCGGCUACCACUUACAGAUGGACCCGCGGCGCAUUAGCUAGUUGGUGAGGUAACGGCUCACCAAGGCGACGAUGCGUAGCCGACCUGAGAGGGUGAUCGGCCACACUGGGACUGAGACACGGCCCAGACUCCUACGGGAGGCAGCAGUAGGGAAUCUUCCGCAAUGGACGAAAGUCUGACGGAGCAACGCCGCGUGAGUGAUGAAGGUUUUCGGAUCGUAAAGCUCUGUUGUUAGGGAAGAACAAGUGCCGUUCAAAUAGGGCGGCACCUUGACGGUACCUAACCAGAAAGCCACGGCUAACUACGUGCCAGCAGCCGCGGUAAUACGUAGGUGGCAAGCGUUGUCCGGAAUUAUUGGGCGUAAAGGGCUCGCAGGCGGUUUCUUAAGUCUGAUGUGAAAGCCCCCGGCUCAACCGGGGAGGGUCAUUGGAAACUGGGGAACUUGAGUGCAGAAGAGGAGAGUGGAAUUCCACGUGUAGCGGUGAAAUGCGUAGAGAUGUGGAGGAACACCAGUGGCGAAGGCGACUCUCUGGUCUGUAACUGACGCUGAGGAGCGAAAGCGUGGGGAGCGAACAGGAUUAGAUACCCUGGUAGUCCACGCCGUAAACGAUGAGUGCUAAGUGUUAGGGGGUUUCCGCCCCUUAGUGCUGCAGCUAACGCAUUAAGCACUCCGCCUGGGGAGUACGGUCGCAAGACUGAAACUCAAAGGAAUUGACGGGGGCCCGCACAAGCGGUGGAGCAUGUGGUUUAAUUCGAAGCAACGCGAAGAACCUUACCAGGUCUUGACAUCCUCUGACAAUCCUAGAGAUAGGACGUCCCCUUCGGGGGCAGAGUGACAGGUGGUGCAUGGUUGUCGUCAGCUCGUGUCGUGAGAUGUUGGGUUAAGUCCCGCAACGAGCGCAACCCUUGAUCUUAGUUGCCAGCAUUCAGUUGGGCACUCUAAGGUGACUGCCGGUGACAAACCGGAGGAAGGUGGGGAUGACGUCAAAUCAUCAUGCCCCUUAUGACCUGGGCUACACACGUGCUACAAUGGACAGAACAAAGGGCAGCGAAACCGCGAGGUUAAGCCAAUCCCACAAAUCUGUUCUCAGUUCGGAUCGCAGUCUGCAACUCGACUGCGUGAAGCUGGAAUCGCUAGUAAUCGCGGAUCAGCAUGCCGCGGUGAAUACGUUCC